CAGUAGCCGCGGUAAUACGUAGGUGGCAAGCGUUAAUCGGAAUUACUGGGCGUAAAGCGUGCGUAGGCGGUUUGUUAAGUCUGUUGUGAAAUCCCGGGCUCAACCUGGGAAUGGCAAUGGAUACUGGCAAGCUAGAGUGUGUCAGAGAAUGGUGGAAUUCCCGGUGUAGCGGUGAAAUGCGUAGAGAUCGGGAGGAACAUCAGUGGCGAAGGCGGCCAUCUGGGACAACACUGACGCUGAGGCACGAAAGCGUGGGGAGCAAACAGGAUUAGAUACCCGGGUAGUCCCUGUCUCUUAUACA
rnacentral:rRNA from 1 species